AUUGAACGCUGGCGGCAUGCCUUACACAUGCAAGUCGAACGGCAGCACGGGAGCAAUCCUGGUGGCGAGUGGCGAACGGGUGAGUAAAGUAUCGGAACGUGCCCAGUCGUGGGGGAUAACGUAGCGAAAGUUACGCUAAUACCGCAUACGAUCUAUGGAUGAAAGCGGGGGAUCGCAAGACCUCGCGCGAUUGGAGCGGCCGAUAUCAGAUUAGGUAGUUGGUGGGGUAAAGGCUCACCAAGCCGACGAUCUGUAGCUGGUCUGAGAGGACGACCAGCAAGAAGGGGACUGAGACACGGCCCAGACUCCUACGGGAGGCAGCGGUGGGGAAUUUUGGACAAUGGGCGAAAGCCUGAUCCAGCCAUGCCGCGUGCAGGAUGAAGGCCUUCGGGUUGUAAACUGCUUUUGUACGGAACGAAAAGGUUUGGCCUAAUAAGCUGAGCUCAUGACGGUACCGUAAGAAUAAGCACCGGCUAACUACGUGCCAGCCGCCGCAGUAA
rnacentral:rRNA from 1 species